rnacentral:misc_RNA from 1 species
GCGGUUUUUGGGUAGUGAUCAUAGGGUCAAAUUAUGAUGGCUUCUUUGUGUACCCUAAAAACUUUUUUGACAUCAGUUCGCUAUCAUAUCUGUUGGAGAAGAGUGAUGGUAUGCACGGGAACCACAACAAAUUAUAUUUUAGGAUUUGACUUGCCUACACUACAGGAUUGCACCAAACACAUGGAUGGGUGCCAAGUACUUGAGUGCUUCACACUUUUCCAAUGAAUGAUUGCCAAUGAUCCAAUUGUCACACUCUCAGUUGAACUUGACACUUAUCUAUUAGCUUGGUUUAAUACACCAAGUUUAGCCAAGAAUUUUCCUAUAUUUUAAUGCUAAACAACCGCUAAGAAAAACCGCUAAGAAAAAUUAAGUAAAGAAACAAAAGCCAUUAUUUGAAAAUUACAUGAUUAGUUUAGAGCAUGUUUUUUUGGUUCCAAUAGCCAUUAGGUCAGGUGUCUCUUGGAGAAUUUAUGAUUCGAAAAUAAACAGAGGUAAAAUUCAUAUCAAGCAUAUAAAAGGGUUAAGGAAUUCAGAAUCAUAAUAAAGUUAUUGUAAACCUGUUUGUUCAUGCUAUUCUGAUCUAUAUUUGAACAAUCUAAUUGUUCUACUGAUGUUAAACUUCAU